GACCUCGGAUCAGGUAGGGAUACCCGCUGAACUUAAGCAUAUCAAUAAGCGGAGGAAAAGAAACCAACAGGGAUUGCCUUAGUAACGGCGAGUGAAGCGGCAACAGCUCAAAUUUGAAAUCUAGCCUCAUGGUCCGAAUUGUAAUUUGUAGAGGAUGCUUCGAGCAUGGUCUGGUCUAAGUUCCUUGGAACAGGACGUCAUAGAGGGUGAGAAUCCCGUAUGCGACUAGGUGCCUAAGCUCAUGUGAAGCUCCUUCGACGAGUCGAGUUGUUUGGGAAUGCAGCUCAAAAUGGGUGGUAAAUUUCAUCUAAAGCUAAAUACUGGCCAGAGACCGAUAGCGCACAAGUAGAGUGAUCGAAAGAUGAAAAGCACUUUGGAAAGAGAGUUAAACAGUACGUGAAAUUGUUGAAAGGGAAGCGC
rnacentral:rRNA from 1 species